GGGCUGGGGCUCAGUGGUAGAGCGCUCGCCUAGCCUGUGUGAGGCACUGGGUUCGAUCCCCAGUACCCCA
rnacentral:tRNA from 1 species